GGCUCCGUGGCUUAAUGGUUACGGCUUCUGUCUCCCAAGCAGAAAGUUCAGGGAUCAAAUCCCGGUCGGUACCU
rnacentral:tRNA from 1 species